rnacentral:rRNA from 1 species
UACAGAGGUCUCAAGCGUUGUUCGGAUUCAUUGGGCGUAAAGGGUGCGUAGGCGGCGCGGUAAGUCGGGUGUGAAAUCUUGGAGCUUAACUCCGAAACUGCAUUCGAUACUGCCGUGCUUGAGGACUGGAGAGGAGACUGGAAUUUACGGUGUAGCGGUGAAAUGCGUAGAUAUCAAGUGGAACACCAGUGGCGAAGGCGAGUCCCUGGACAACUCCUGACACUGAGGCACGAAAGCUAGGGGAGCAAACAGG